UACGAAGGGGGGCUAGCGUUGCUCGGAAUUACUGGGCGUAAAGGGAGCGUAGGCGGAUAGUUCAGUCAGAGGUGAAAGCCCAGGGCUCAACCUUGGAAUUGCCUUUGAUACUGGCUGUCUUGAGUAUGGGAGAGGUUAGCGGAACUCCGAGUGUAGAGGUGAAAUUCGUAGAUAUUCGCAGGAACACCAGUGGCGAAGGCGGCUUACUGGUCCACUAACUGACGGCUGAGGCACGAAAGC
rnacentral:rRNA from 1 species